UACGGGGGGGGCAAGCGUUGUUCGGAAUUACUGGGCGUAAAGGGCUCGUAGGCGGCCAACUAAGUCGGAUGUGAAAUCCCCAGGCUUAACCUGGGAACUGCAUCCGAUACUGGAUGGCUUGAAUCCGGGAGAGGGAUGUGGAAUUCCAGGUGUAGCGGUGAAAUGCGUAGAUAUCUGGAGGAACACCGGUGGCGAAGGCGACAUCCUGGACCGGUAUUGACGCUGAGGCGCGAAAGCUAGGGGAGCAAACGGG
rnacentral:rRNA from 1 species